rnacentral:rRNA from 1 species
GAUGAACGCUGGCGGCGUGCCUAAUACAUGCAAGUCGAGCGAACAGAUGAGAAGCUUGCUUCUCUGAUGUUAGCGGCGGACGGGUGAGUAACACGUGGGUAACCUACCUAUAAGACUGGGAUAACUCCGGGAAACCGGGGCUAAUACCGGAUAAUAUUUUGAACCGCAUGGUUCAAUAGUGAAAGACGGUUUCGGCUGUCACUUAUAGAUGGACCCGCGCCGUAUUAGCUAGUUGGUAAGGUAACGGCUUACCAAGGCGACGAUACGUAGCCGAGCUGAGAGGGUGAUCGGCCACACUGGAACUGAGACACGGUCCAGACUCCUACGGGAGGCGGCAGUAGGGAAUCUUCCGCAAUGGGCGAAAGCCUGACGGAGCAACGCCGCGUGAGUGAUGAAGGUCUUCGGAUCGUAAAACUCUGUUGUUAGGGAAGAACAAAUUUGUUAGUAACUGAACAAGUCUUGACGGUACCUAACCAGAAAGCCACGGCUAACUACGUGCCAGCCGCCGCGGUAA